CCUGCGCGCGGCUACCAUGCAGUCGAGCGGAAGGCCCUUCGGGGUACUCGAGCGGCGAACGGGUGAGUAACACGUGAGCAACCUGCCCUAGGCUUUGGGAUAACCCUCGGAAACGGGGGCUAAUACCGGAUAGUACCUGCUCCUGCAUGGGGGUGGGUGGAAAGUUUUUCGGCCUGGGAUGGGCUCGCGGCCUAUCAGCUUGUUGGUGGGGUGAUGGCCUACCAAGGCGACGACGGGUAGCCGGCCUGAGAGGGCGACCGGCCACACUGGGACUGAGACACGGCCCAGACUCCUACGGGAGGCAGCAGUGGGGAAUAUUGCACAAUGGGCGGAAGCCUGAUGCAGCGACGCCGCGUGAGGGAUGACGGCCUUCGGGUUGUAAACCUCUUUCAGCAGGGACGAAGCGUGAGUGACGGUACCUGCAGAAGAAGCGCCGGCCAACUACGUGCCAGCAGCCGCGGUAAGACGUAGGGCGCGAGCGUUGUCCGGAUUUAUUGGGCGUAAAGAGCUCGUAGGCGGCUUGUCGCGUCGACUGUGAAAACCCAUGGCUUAACUGUGGGCUUGCAGCCGAUACGGGCAGGCUAGAGUUCGGUAGGGGAGACUGGAAUUCCUGGUGUAGCGGUGAAAUGCGCAGAUAUCAGGAGGAACACCGGUGGCGAAGGCGGGUCUCUGGGCCGAUACUGACGCUGAGGAGCGAAAGCGUGGGGAGCGAACAGGAUUAGAUACCCUGGUAGUCCACGCUGUAAACGUUGGGCGCUAGGUGUGGGGGGCCUCUCCGGUUCUCUGUGCCGCAGCUAACGCAUUAAGCGCCCCGCCUGGGGAGUACGGCCGCAAGGCUAAAACUCAAAGGAAUUGACGG
rnacentral:rRNA from 1 species